CACCUUUCAGGUUCAUAUCUGGAGAGUUUCCAGGACUCUACCAGUGUCGGCUAUGGGAGCGAGAGUCAAGCAGAGCAUACCCAUUCCACUCCCAGCUUGGCCAGUGGCUAGCGAGUGGAAGACAAUCUGCAACAAGA